rnacentral:RNase_P_RNA from 2 species
GGAGGCUGCCGGGCGGCCGCUGGCUUAGGUCAGAGGAAAGUCCGGACACCACAGGGCAGGGAGGUCGCUAACGGCGACCGGGGGCGACCCCAGGGACAGGGCCACAGAGAAGGAGACCGCCCCGCGCAAGCGGGGUAAGGGUGAAAAGGCGGGGUAAGAGCCCGCCAGACUGCCGGGUGACCGGCAGUGCUUGGUAACCCCCUCCCGGUGCAAGGCCAAAUAGGUUCCGCAUCAAGGAUUGCCCGUCCUUGUUCCCUUCGGGGAUGGCGGAACGGGUUGGCUGCUCGAGCCUGCCGGCAACGGCAGGCCUAGACGAAUGGCCGCCGCCCGGAAUUUUUUCCGGGAACAGGAUCCGGCUUAAAGGCAGCCUCCGGUU